AUUGUAUAUGGCCAGAUCUCCCCAGGCAGCCCCUCUCUAUGUCGAAUGGCUUCAUCGUAACAUAAAGUUAAUUCUUCACUAAAUUGUAGCCCCACCAUCUCAACCCAGGCUUCUUAUAUCAUUUCUAAUUUCAGACAACAGCUCCCCAACUGGUGGCAUUUCAUCAUCCUUUCCAUUUUGUUCUAAAUACUCCCUCCUGGAUAUGCAGCCUCUAUACCAUGCUAUCAUCUCAUUACUG